AAGUCGUAACAAGGUCUCCGUAGGUGAACCUGCGGAGGGAUCAUUACUGAGUGAGGGCCCCCGGCCCGACCUCCAACCCUUUGUAAACCGACCCUGUUGCCUCGGGGGACUCCGGCGUCUUCGGGCGCCGGGCCCCCGGUGGACCCCCCAACUCUGCGUCUUUGCGUCUGAGUCUUGAGUGAUAAAUCAAUUAAAA
rnacentral:misc_RNA from 1 species